AGAGCGAACGCUGGCGGCAGGCCUAACACAUGCAAGUCGAGCGCCCGUAGCAAUACGGGAGCGGCAGACGGGAUAGUAACACGUGGGAACGCGCCCUUCGGUUCGGAAUAACUCAGGGGAAACUUGAGCUAAUACCGAAUACGCCCUUACGGGGAAAGAUUUAUUGCCGAAGGAACGGCCCGCGUCCGAUUAGCUAGUUGGUGAGGUAAUGGCUCACCAAGGCUACGAUCGGUAGCUGGUCUGAGAGGAUGACCAGCAUCACUGGGACUGAGACACGGCCCAGACUCCUACGGGAGGCAGCAGUGGGGAAUAUUGGACAAUGGGCGCAAGCCUGAUCCAGCCAUGCCGCGUGGAUGAUGAAGGCCUUAGGGUUGUAAAGUCCUUUUAACGGGAAGAUAAUGACGGUACCCGUAGAAUAAGCCCGGCUAACUUCGUGCCAGCAGCCGC
rnacentral:rRNA from 1 species